rnacentral:rRNA from 1 species
GAUGAACGCUGGCGGCGUGCCUAAUACAUGCAAGUCGAGCGAACAGACGAGGAGCUUGCUCCUCUGACGUUAGCGGCGGACGGGUGAGUAACACGUGGAUAACCUACCUAUAAGACUGGGAUAACUUCGGGAAACCGGAGCUAAUACCGGAUAAUAUAUUGAACCGCAUGGUUCAAUAGUGAAAGACGGUUUUGCUGUCACUUAUAGAUGGAUCCGCGCCGCAUUAGCUAGUUGGUAAGGUAACGGCUUACCAAGGCGACGAUGCGUAGACGACCUGAGAGGGUGAUCGCCCACACUGGAACUGAGACACGGUCCAGACUCCUACGGUAGGCAGCAGUAGGGAAUCUUCCGCGAUGGGCGAAAGCCUGACAGAGCAACGCCGCGUGAGUGAUGAAGGUCUUCGGAUCGUAAAGCUCUGUUAUUAGGGAAGAACAAAAGUGUAAGUAACUAUGCACGUCUUGACGGUACCUAAACAGAAAGCCACGGCUAACUACGUG